AAAACGUCCCGUCCGCAGCCCAGAGCCUUUCCCGUCUUGUAUUUAUACAAGCCGAGUGCCCUGAGAUGCGGGAAAUGAUUGCUCCCCAUCCAGAAGUCCCAAACUAGAGAAGAAGAAGAUGGGAAGGUUUCUCUCCGGCUGGCCUCACAAUAACCUUGCGAGGUAGGACAAGGAGGCGAACUGGUCCCAACUCAUCCCGUGCACUUUGCUGCGUGAGCCAGAGGAUUUGAACCCAAGCUAAGUUUAGAGUUGGAGGUUUUUUAUGAUGGGGAAAAAUGAGGAAGUUUUCUUCCCCCACCCCAAGGCUUUAGAAGAAAGGGGGGAUAUACAGGCAAUAAAGAAAAAAACUCUGGUGCAAUUUGCUCAUUUCAGAGUCACAGGCCCUUCCGAAUUUUGCCCGGGCGUGUGAUUU